GCCUGGGUGGCUCAGUGGUUGAGCAUCUGCCUCCAGCUCAGGGCGUUACCCCGGGGUCCUGGGUUCGAGUCCCGCAUCAGGCU
rnacentral:tRNA from 1 species